UGUCCAGCACUAUUACAUUGACAGAGUGAGUGAUUUGACUUUUUCAACUAAUUACAACAUAAUUGAAAGGCAGCUGAAUAUGUCCAUUUUGCAACAAUUUUACACAACGUGUUAGCUAGUAGCCCACCUGGUAGCUAGUAGCACUUACACCUGAUAUUAUUAUCAUGGUAAUUCUUACAAAACAUAUUUUGUCCGACCAUAUGCUCGCGAAAAAUAUACUUCUAUUUUGUUUUGCCGUUUAAAAUGAUAAUUUUGACCUUGUGAAUGUAAGAGGUAACGACUAUUAGCUUCCGUGGAACAUCAACGAGCCGAAGUCACGCGCCACAAAUAGCCAGGAACUUUACAGCGAGGUGAACGUUUGACCUAUACUUUAUUUUGCUUUGUCUAGGUUUAUCCCAUGCUUAAAUAAAAUGCUGAUCCAUGUAAAGUAUGGUGACUUGCAAAAGUACGUGAAGUUGGAGGAGGUCGAAGGGCUGUUUGACUCUAAUCAGUUUCAUGAGAAAGUCAUUGAACGAUUUUGCCUGCCACCUGAUGGCAAAGUGACAUACAAAGAUGCAACAGAUACUGAAGUUGACGAAGAAAUAUUCAGUGACCUCCUUAGACAAGGCAAUGUGGUACUGACAGUUUUCUGCUCUGAUGAGUACUCAGAAUGGUCAUCUGCUUCUGACUCUGACUCGAGCUUCAACUCAAAUGCAUCAACAUCAACAAUACUAAUGGAUGAGAUACCACGCAAGAAGCAAAAAACUGAGAAUGCUAAUAACUCAGUCUGCUAAGAAUCUGGCUGAAGGUGUCCUACAAAGCAAGUCUGGUGGUGAAGAAAUUCUGCAGGAGUAUGAAACUACAGAAACCUUAACUGAUGCCACAAGAAGACAAAUGGUGAACAUACUGGUGGCUGACAUGAUUGAUAAACAUGGGCACCUCCCCACUAAAGCAAUCAGAGAGAAGUAUGCCUUUGGAAUAGUGACGCUCUUCCCAUCCCUCAAGGAUCCAUACACCAAAAAAGGCUAUGAGCACUUUUAUGAUGCAGCAAGCAGCACUGGAUACAUUUCAUGGCGUCUUAAAACGGUCCUAAGGAAGAUUCAAAGAGGAUCUCUUGUGCCACUAAGUAGCACCAAUUACACUUCAUCUGGAGCCCCAAAUAUACAGAGAACUGUGAUUGCUGAAAAACAACUUGAUGGGAAUGCCUGUCAGGAGGCCAUAUCUCUGCUUAACCACACCAAAGACAGGUCUGUGAUCUUUUAGAAGAUGAGAGAGACUUUUGAGCACCAUCACAAGCUUAUUAAAGAACCCAGUGGAAAAAAAUGAUAUUCUGACAACGUUCCAGAGGUUCCUGGACACAAAAGGAUUGAUUGAUCAAGACUUCAGUCUUCUGUUCAGUGAAGAAACCUCAUCCAGACUGCUGCAGAAGUGGGAUGUGAUCUUCAAACCAAAUGUCAUCAAGGAGGCUAA